rnacentral:rRNA from 1 species
CCUACGGGAGGCAGCAGUGGGGAAUUUUGGACAAUGGACGCAAGUCUGAUCCAGCCAUUCCGCGUGCAGGACGAAGGCCUUCGGGUUGUAAACUGCUUUUGUACGGAACGAAAAAGCUCUUAUUAAUACUAGGAGUCCAUGACGGUACCGUAAGAAUAAGCACCGGCUAACUACGUGCCAGCAGCCGCGGUAAUACGUAGGGUGCAAGCGUUAAUCGGAAUUACUGGGCGUAAAGCGUGCGCAGGCGGUUAUAUAAGACAGAUGUGAAAUCCCCGAGCUUAACUUGGGAACUGCAUUUGUGACUGUAUAGCUAGAGUACGGCAGAGGGGGAUGGAAUUCCGCGUGUAGCAGUGAAAUGCGUAGAUAUGCGGAGGAACACCGAUGGCGAAGGCAAUCCCCUGGGCCUGUACUGACGCUCAUGCACGAAAGCGUGGGGAGCAAACAGGAUUAGAUACCCUGGUAGUCCACGCCCUAAACCGAUGUCAACUGGUUGUUGGGGUCUUCUACUGACUCAGUAACGAAGACGACGCGUGAGUAGACCGCCGNGGGAGGUAACGGUCCGCGAGGUUAGUAAACGUUAAAGGUUAAAGUUAGUUACGGCGUUGAGAGUUGCGACGGACGACGACGAGGGAGGAGG